AACUUGAGAGUUUGAUCCUGGCUCAGAACGAACGCUGGCGGCAGGCUUAACACAUGCAAGUCGAGCGCCCCGCAAGGGGAGCGGCAGACGGGUGAGUAACGCGUGGGAAUCUACCCAUCUCUACGGAACAACUCCGGGAAACUGGAGCUAAUACCGUAUACGUCCUUUUGGAGAAAGAUUUAUCGGAGAUGGAUGAGCCCGCGUUGGAUUAGCUAGUUGGUGGGGUAAUGGCCUACCAAGGCGACGAUCCAUAGCUGGUCUGAGAGGAUGAUCAGCCACACUGGGACUGAGACACGGCCCAGACUCCUACGGGAGGCAGCAGUGGGGAAUA
rnacentral:rRNA from 1 species